CAGUAGACGCUGAAGACUUUAGCUUGCUAAAGUUGGAAGAGUUGCGAACGGGUGAGUAACGCGUAGGUAACCUGCCUACUAGCGGGGGAUAACUAUUGGAAACGAUAGCUAAUACCGCAUAACAGCAUUUAACACAUGUUAGAUGCUUGAAAGGAGCAAUUGCUUCACUAGUAGAUGGACCUGCGUUGUAUUAGCUAGUUGGUGAGGUAACGGCUCACCAAGGCGACGAUACAUAGCCGACCUGAGAGGGUGAUCGGCCACACUGGGACUGAGACACGGCCCAGACUCCUACGGGAGGCAGCAGUAGGGAAUCUUCGGCAAUGGGGGCAACCCUGACCGAGCAACGCCGCGUGAGUGAAGAAGGUUUUCGGAUCGUAAAGCUCUGUUGUAAGAGAAGAACGUGUGUGAGAGUGGAAAGUUCACACAGUGACGGUAACUUACCAGAAAGGGACGGCUAACUACGUGCCAGCAGCCGCGGUAAUACGUAGGUCCCGAGCGUUGUCCGGAUUUAUUGGGCGUAAAGCGAGCGCAGG
rnacentral:rRNA from 1 species